UGGGGAAUAUUGCACAAUGGGCGCAAGCCUGAUGCAGCCAUGCCGCGUGUAUGAAGAAGGCCUUCGGGUUGUAAAGUACUUUCAGCGGGGAGGAAGGGAGUAAAGUUAAUACCUUUGCUCAUUGACGUUACCCGCAGAAGAAGCACCGGCUAACUCCGUGCCAGCAGCCGCGGUAAUACGGAGGGUGCAAGCGUUAAUCGGAAUUACUGGGCGUAAAGCGCACGCAGGCGGUUGAUUGAGUCAGAUGUGAAAUCCCCGGGCUGAACCCGGGAAUUGCAUCUGAUACUGGUCAGAUAGAGGCUUGUAGAGGGGGGUAGAAUUCCAUGUGUAGCGGUGAAAUGCGUAGAGGUGUGGAGGAAUACCGGUGGCGAAGGCGGCCCCCUGGACAAAGACUGACGCUCAGGUGCGAAAGCGUGGGGAGCAAACAGG
rnacentral:rRNA from 1 species